rnacentral:rRNA from 1 species
GACGAACGCUGGCGGCGUGCUUAACACAUGCAAGUCGAACGACGUGGCGAACGGGUGAGUAACGCGUAAUCAACCUGCCCUUCAGAGGGGGACAACAGUUGGAAACGACUGCUAAUACCGCAUACUGAAGGACGGGAUUGCGUGUCAUUAGCUAGUUGGGGGGGGAACGGCCCACCAAGGCGAUGAUCAGUAGCCGGUCUGUGAUGAGUAACCGCCACAUUUGGACGGAGAAACGGCCCAGACUGCUACGGGAGGCAGCAGGUGGGAAUCUUCCGAAAUGGACGAAAGUCUGACGGAGCAACGCCGCGUAAGUGAUGACGGCCUUCGGGUUGGAAAGCGCUGUUAAUCGGGACGCGGUACCGGAAUAGAAAGCCACGGCUAACUACGUGCCAGCAGCCGCGGUAAUAC